rnacentral:rRNA from 2 species
UACGUAGGUGGCAAGCGUUGUCCGGAAUUACUGGGUGUAAAGGGCGUGUAGGCGGGACGGCAAGUCAGAUGUGAAAUACCUCGGCUUAACUGGGGUGCUGCAACUGAAACUGUCGUUCUUGAGUGUCGGAGAGGAAAGUGGAAUUCCCAGUGUAGCGGUGAAAUGCGUAGAGAUUGGGAGGAACACCAGUGGCGAAGGCGGCUUUCUGGACGAUAACUGACGCUGAGGCGCGAAAGCGUGGGUAGCAAACAGGAUUAGAUACCCUGGUAGUCCACGCUGUAAACGAUGGAUACUAGGUGUAGGAGGUAUCGACCCCUUCUGUGCCGGAGUUAACACAAUAAGUAUCCCACCUGGGGAGUACGGCCGCAAGGUUGAA